GUCCCCUGCUCACCCGGUGGCAAAGCCGGCGAGGAGGCGGCGGCGCUGGUGGGGACUGACCCGGCAGUCCGAGAAUCCACCGCGGCCUUUUCACCCAACCGCCCCCUCCUGCGUGGGGGCCCCGCAUCCCCUGGACUGGCGUGGGCUCUGGGGCCCGAUGCCCUGGCAGCCCCGGCCAUCUCUGCCGCUGGCCGCGGGUACCUGCUCACCUGUCCACGCCGUGGCCGACCCGGGGAUCACCGACAGCCGGGCCAUGCCUCGAGUCCCGCCGCCCGCGCCGCUGCUCGGCUUCUCAGAAACGCACCUCCACGCCGCCAGCCGGGGCUCCAGGGUCCACCGCCCGGGCCCGGAGGACUGGCGACUCCCUCCGAGGUUGGGAGCGCUCCGGAUUUCUCCAACUUCAGGCCCUGAAAUGUGGUAGUUCAGCUCCACAUUGGAUGCUUUUGGCCGAUGCCUUGGUUUUGCUCCUCCCCUAUGUGCCAGUCCUAUGAGUCUGCUAGCCUCCUGGUUCAGUGUGGAAGCCUCCUUGGCUGCAGCGGGGGUCAUGCACAGCAGCCUCAGGAGGCUGCAUUUGUCCAUCUCAGCAUCUCUUUCCCUGGGUCUGGCCCUCAACCUCUUUCUUGUAGGCUGGAAUUUGAGUGCUUCACUCCCUGAACUCUGGAGGAUUUUAACAUAGUUACGACUUGUGUCUCCAAAUGGAUAAACCAGGACCAGUGCCGCACUCAGUCGAAGCCAACUAGACCACUGCUAGACCACUUUUUUCAACACCGAGUGUGCCAUGAGAAACUAUGUUAAUAAAAGGCAAAAAUGUGGAAGGAACAGGAAGAAUGAAAAAGCAAAAUAAAAAAGGGCAAAUUCUUGCAAAACCUCUUCAUCCCUAGCUUUUCCCAGAAAUCCUGGCAUUUCUUCAGUAAAUUUGUUCUGUGCAAGUAUUUGUUCUACCAAGACCGAUCAGUGAAAAAUGAGAAAAACCUAGUUUCUUCCCUAGGAAUUGAUGCCAUUUUAUGAAAUCUGUUAUUAAUAUCAGCCAGUUGUCGAGAAAGUGCACUUGUUCAGUAGCUGACUUUGGCUGCUCAGUAUGGGCUUUUGCUUUGCCAAAAAUAAUGAGAUCACUUUUCUAAUUCCUUUUUAAUGUGUUUACACAGCUUCAACAGUAUUGCCUGCUCUAUACACUAGGAAACAUUAUGUGGAACAGCAAAUUUGCUUUCCAAGUCAAACUGAAGAAAACCACACAAUAAUUAUCUAGAAUUAACUUACUGAAUUUAAAGAGGAAUAUACUUGAACUGCCUGACAAAUUAUGCAUUAAGAACAAACCAAGAGAAAAACAAAACAAACAUCACACCAUAAUAUUUUUGUAAAAAGGUAAUGCUACAUCUUUGUUAUCUAAGAUGAAAUCUGAUACUCUGAUUUUUAUUUAAUUCUGAUUUUUUUUUUUUUUUUUUUGAGAUGGAGUCUCGCUCUAUCCCCCAGGCUGGAGUGCGUGGGCAUGAUCUCGACUUACUGCAACCUCUGCUUCCUGGGUUCAAGCGAUUCUGGUGUCUCAGCCUCCUGAGUAGCUGGGAUUACAGGUGCCCGCCACCGCGCCCUCCACCAUGCCCCCACCUAAUUUUUGUAUUUUUAGUAGAGACGGGGUUUUGCCGUGUUGGCCAGACUAGUCUCAAACUCCUGGCCACAAGUGAUCGACCUGCCUCAGCCUCCCAAAGUGCUGAGAUUACAGUGUGAGCCACCACACCCAGCCUAAUUCUGAGAUUUCUAACAAAAUAAAUUAGUCCUUAUUCCCAAAAAUGGAGCAAGAAUACAUUACAGCACAUCUUUCCUGAGAACUUCUUCUGCAUAUCAAAGGGAAGGUGCUCAUCUAAAAAUAGAAAACAGCUUUCCCCCACCCAAAACAGCUGCUAAUACUAACAACAACUGCUACCUAGAGAAGUCUCCUUGCUGCAGCCCUUAUAUGGGAAGGAUGUGUUUGAGAAGGGGUCUGAAAUCCUCUCUAAGGAUCAACAAGCAUCUCCUCCCCACAAGCCCUCCCCCUCCCUCUCUGCCUUCCCUCUCUUCAAAGAUCAAAGGCUGAUGGUUUAAAGCAAGUGCUGGGCCAGGUGCGGUGGCCCACGCCUGUAAUCCCAGCACUUUGGGAGGCCUAGGAGGGCGGAUCACCUGAGGUUAGGAAUUCGAGACCAGCCUGGCCAACACAGUGAAACCCUGACUCUACUAAAAAUUCAGAAAUUGGCCAGGCGCAGUGGCUCACACCUGUAAUCUCAGCACUUUGGGAGGCCGAGGCAGGCAGAUCAUGAGGUCAGGAGUUCAAGACCAGCCUGACCAACAUAGGGAAACCCCGUCUCUACUAAAAAUGCAAAAAUUAGCCGGGUGUGAUGGUGCGCACCUGUAGUCCCAGAUACUCAGGAGGUUGAGGCAGGAGAAUCGCUUGAACCUGGGAGGCGGAGGUUGCAGUGAGCCAAGAUAGCUCCACUGCACUCCAGCCUGGGUGACAGAGCGAGACUCUGUCUCAAAAAAAAAAAAAAAAAAAAAAAAAAAAAAAAAAAUUCAGAAAUUAGCUGAGCAUGGUGGCAGAUGCCUGUAAUCCCAGCUACUCGGGAGGCUGAGGCAGGAGAAUUGCUAGAACCCAGGAAGGCGGAGGUUGCAGUGAACCAAGAUGAUGCCACUGCACUCCAGCCUGGGCAACAGAGUGAGACUCUGUCUGUAAAUAAAUAAAUAAUUAAAAAAUUAAAAAAACAAGUGCUAUAAGAAAGAGACCAAUUGGUACAUAAUCUUGAUCAUGGGUUAACUCCAAGUUUUUGCUAGGGAGGUAUGUUAACUAAAUCUACAGACUUUGCCACCAACUUUUGUGAUAAAUUCAAUAACAUUAAAGGAAAUUUUAGAAAAGGAAAAUUAUUCAUAAUCUCAACACCCCACUGGAACCCCAUUUGCAUUCUGUUUUCCAUUCCAUUUCUAGCAGUGAGCUCUGCUGUCAUCACAUCGAUGGGUUCUUUAAGGUGUUCUCUAACCAUUAACAGCUUAAUUUCCAAAUACACCUGUGAGCUACAUCAGUGUUUUUAUUUUACCUAAUAGAUGAAAUGAGUGAAGCCUAGGAAGGAGAUUGGAUUAGUGGCCCUGUCAAGAAGCCUGAUAAGCCAGUCUCUGCCAGGAGGGUGCUACGUUCUCUCUGCUCCAACCUGUGGGCCAUUGCGCAGCACAGCUAUGUUUUCAGCACAUACCUUGGCAAGACUUCUCAUCUGUUAAUAAUUUAAAUCCUUUCUUGCAGCCGCAGUCAAAACUGCCCACGAUGUUUUUGCAGAAAUGAUCACAACCUCCAUUGCGGGUCUGGCACUCAUCAAUAUCUGCAACAGGAAAGCAUUGGGCAUAUCAGAGAGCAAUACUUGCCUCAUUUCCCACAACUCCCUGAAGGGCCAUUGUGUGUGUUCAUUAGUCUCUGAAAUUAAGAAAAAGACUCACAAAAGCAUUUAAGAAUGUUUGCUGAUGUUUUUAACCUUAUACAUGUUUUCUUAUCUGGCUUAACCAGUUUUGAAAGACAAGUGUUUCAUCGUCUUGAGAACGCUGACUUAUGAUGCCCUUGAUUGGCAUUAAGGAAACAAACUCUGGGAAAGAAUGAUGACGUCCUGUUAUAUUCUCAUCUUUGUAUUGCUCUCUCAAGGUAAGAUGGGUCUCUUUAGUACACUAUGUAUUCAAGUUUAAUGAUUAAAGCUAUAAAGGACUAGAGCAUUUGUUUUGGCAAAUUACACAAUGAUCAAAUAGCCUCAAUGUUUUAAAAUGAUUCCUGAUACUCAAUCUUAUCUUUUCCCAGUUUCGUCUGGCAAUUGGUUAUCUACUUUUUAUCAUGCUAAAGGGCUAAUCCUUUGUACUCUUGCCCAUGAAAUAUGAGCAAGUCAUUGGGGUCGCUCUUCAUCAGUAAAAGUUAAUGGUACAGUUAUUCAUUAAGUCCUCUGGAUAAUCAUCUUGACUGUUAUUUAUAUAAUAAUCUCUAGGCUAUUAUGUAUGAUAUGUUGAUAUUAUCUCCUGCAAAUGAAUGCUUCCUUUAACUGCCUUUUUCUAAUAAGGCCACUGUCUGAAAUGAAUUAUUUGAUGCUUGUAGAGGCUGACCUCCUCAACAAUUAGUGUAAUUAAGUGUUGGUUCUAAUUAAGCUUACUCAGUUAUAACCUUCCACUAGCCCAGGGGGAAAAAGCUCCCAUUGAUAUGAAUCAUAAGCAAAUCUCGAGUCACGUGGGGUAUGGAGGGUAUGUUGCCUUUAUCCCCAUAUGUUAGCGGCAUGGGCCCUCCCUCCAUAACAGGGCACCCAGUCUCCCUGGGGAGGUGAAGGCUACCUUUACAUGUCUUCCCAUCCAACUGGAGAGUGAAUCCAACAGGACAACUGCAGUGGACACCUGUCGAAGUAUCCUUACAGGUGCGGUCACAGCCUCCAUUGUUGACAGCACACGUUUCUGGCAAGGAGAAAUAUGGGGGAGGAGGAGCCAGAAGAAGAAACAGCUCGAAGAAUUGACUAUUGUUGCCUCUGGCAAAUGGGAUGAGGAAAUGGGAAGUUAUGAGACAAGGAAAUGAUGAGUUUCAUUACAAGCCUAGAAGUAAUUAAGCGUUUAUGUUACUCAUUUGUACUAUUUUCACUUAAGACAAUGAAAAUUUAUAAUUUCUAAAGAGCAGAAAAGAGCUCGGAAAGGUUACCUGCUUGGUAACCAAUGGCUGUAUGAUAUGUUGCCUGACUGUUAAAUCCAGAAACUGUCAAAAGAUGGGUUUUGUUUAGGUUGAGCCAGACUUUCUCCAGAAGGAGUAACGCACCAAAGGAUCUGUCUGACUCCCACCCCCAUGACCACCUCUAUUUCUGCUCAUCUCCAGCUUGACCGCUGGACCUUCAGGCAGGUCUUCCCUUGUCCCACAGCCAAGUGUUGCCCCUCUCCAUUCAUCUCUUCUACUAUUAUCAUCAGCUGAGUCAGAAAUAGAAGACUCAGUGGACACAAAAAAAGACUAGCUGCCAUUCUGAGCUAGAGGCUGCUUCAGAGGAAGACAGCUGACUUCACUGACCACCCACUCAGUCCCAGGCACUGGACUCUGGGCACCUUUCCAUAUUAUUAUCUUAAUUGAGCAUCCCAACUGAUAUGGCCAGGCUUUAUGUCCCCACUCAAAUCUCAUCCUGAAUUAUAAUCCCCAUAAUCCCCUCGUGUCAAGGGAGAGACCAGGUGGAGGUGAUUGGAUUAUGGGGGCGGUUCCCAUGCUGUUCUCAUGAUAGAGUGAGAUCAUGAGAUCUCAUGGUUUUACAAGUGUUUGGUAGUUCCUCCUGCAUUUAUUCUCCUUCCUGCCACCUUGUGAAGAAGGUACCUUGCUUCCCCUUUGCCUUCCACCAUGAUUAUAAGUUUCCUGAGGCCUCCCCAGCCAUGUGGAACUGUGAGUCAAUUAAGCCUCUUUCUUUAUCAAUUACCCAGUCUCAGGCAGUUCUUUACAGCAGUAUGAAAAUGGGCGAAUACCCUGGCCCUAAGAGGUAGACUUUAUUACAUCCAUUUCAAAGAAAGACCAAGAGACAGAGCCUCAGGGCAGUUUGCCAAGUCUUACAGCUAGGUGGGGGCUGCAUUGGGACGUUAACCUGAUUAUUCUGAUGGACACGAGACCAAGGGUCUUGCUUGGUUGGUGAUUAAGCAACAGCACUGGUGAAGAACAGACACACACCCUGGUUCACAGGAGCUGCUCACCCCAGUCCAGCUGGUCUGAGGGCAUGUGGCUCCCAAGUUCAGGUCUGAUGCAAUAAGUUGGGGAGGGAAAAGGACAAUUGCAGUGGCCAAGGAAAGGGAGUGAAGGUGCCUACCCAUGAGCAGCCGCCGUUUCACCCGUUUAUCCCCAUCCACCACUGAUGUGGUGUUGCUCUCUGUCACCUCCAGGACAGUGUCCUCUCGCUCUACAAGAGAAGCAAAAGAGCACGGUUCUCAGACUGAAUGAGUUAGAUUGCUCAUCCCCAUACAACUGUGUUUGCUGAAAUCCCAGACAUAAGAGGAAUGAAAGAUAUGUGACUCUGUUCACGCAAUAAAAAUGUGUUGUAAUGAGGCUCUGUGGGAGACACAGCCCGUUAAAGGGCCACAGAUCCUUAGCAAACAUUAAACAUGGAAAAGAUUUUGGAGGUAUAUUGCACUGACCAAAGAGACACUAGGGAAUGCAAGCUUCAGUCCCCUGAGUCGAGGAGAAAAAGAGCCUUGGGCCUGGAAACCUCUAAAAUGGAGCUAGUGAAGGACACACCGUGAAGGGCAAGGCAGGCAUCCCGCCAGAAAUAUACGGCCCUGGCUCCUGCUGGCCAGAAGUGCCGCAUCAUUAUAAACAGCUCUAACUUCGUGCUGCCCUGGCCUCCUGGGAGGUGUUGUGCCAGUCUCUGGAAUACCAGCGUUAGGAGCAGCCUAGUCCAGGAGAGGAGGAAGGGCUUCCCAAGGUCACACAGGGAGAGAGGGGCCUUCCCCACAGGCCUAGACCACUCCCACUGUAGCAUGCGAAGCAGCACAGGGCCUGCUGGGGGGGCAAAUGCACAGGAAACAGCCUGCAUCUGUGCUAAACACCAUUAAGGGGUAGGGGUAGGGACAGGCAGGCUGGUGCAGACCCUCACUCAGUGUUGGGGUUGCCACUCACCAAGGCAGCUCCUCCCAUCUGUGUGCAUCUUGUACUGUGGAUGGCAGCUGCACUCUGGGCCAUCGGCUGUAUCGUCACAGGAGUGCUGGCACCCACCGUUCCCAUGGUUACAGGUCACUGACAGCAAAAUGAAUCAAUACAUAAAGCACUGAGAUUUCCACAAACACAGGGCUGUGUUUGCUCCAGAGAAAUUCUGAUUUUCAUUCUGCAAGUAUUUGAGCACCUAGUGCAUGCCAGGCAUGGUGCACGAAAGACAUAACUCCAAGUCAGACCCUGUGGUGUCUGUGUAUGCAGAUAGUUACAAUACAAAUUGUAGAAAUGCUGAAACAUGGGUUUAAACAAAGUCAUACAGGAAGAGGGAGAUGGGAGAGUUGGGGGAGAGACUUUUAUUAUAUAAGGGAGAUUAUACCAAGAGAUUCUAGACUACUGCUUUGUUCUAUCUAGAGAAGUUUACCUAUUAAUACAGCUGUACUGGGGCUUUGGGAAAUGCUAUAGCACUUUAUGCUGGAAUAAAACAGACAAUAUUUAAUUUGUACAUAUAUGUCAGAAUUUCUCUCAUCAGAUUCAAUCUAGAUUAGUUAGAAGGAAGGAUAAUCACAGGAUGAUUCUGCACACAAUUAACGUGACAGUAACUGGUAAUUAUCAAGACUAUAUAUGAAUGUAUUGAUGAUAGGCCAAAAAGAAAAAAAGCCAACUACAAAACUAUCUAUUCAUCAAACUGCUAACCGUGGUUACCUCUGGCAAGGGAAACGGGAGGCGGGAAACUGCAUGUUUUCUUUAUAUGCUUUGGAGUGUUUGCAUUUUACAUAGGCCCUUUGUAAUUUUUCUAAUUCAAAAGAACUAAUUACAUAUUUGUGUUGUCCUGUGAUUAUAGCUGUGUAAAAAUUGUGUAUGCAUAUGAACAACAACUAAAUAGGAAUAUGGAAAAAUUGAAACAGCUGGUUAUGUGGUGAGAUUCUAGGUCUUAGUUUUUUUCUUUGUUAAUUCC
rnacentral:lncRNA from 1 species